rnacentral:rRNA from 1 species
GACGAACGCUGGCGGCGUGCCUAAUACAUGCAAGUCGAGCGGACCGGAUUGGGGCUUGCCUUGAUUCGGUCAGCGGCGGACGGGUGAGUAACACGUGGGCAACCUGCCCGCAAGACCGGGAUAACUCCGGGAAACCGGAGCUAAUACCGGAUAACACCGAAGACCGCAUGGUCUUCGGUUGAAAGGCGGCCUUUGGGCUGUCACUUGCGGAUGGGCCCGCGGCGCAUUAGCUAGUUGGUGAGGUAACGGCUCACCAAGGCGACGAUGCGUAGCCGGCCUGAGAGGGUGACCGGCCACACUGGGACUGAGACACGGCCCAGACUCCUACGGGAGGCAGCAGGAGGGAAUCUUCCGCAAUGGGCGAAAGCCUGACGGAGCGACGCCGCGUGAGCGAAGAAGGCCUUCGGGUCGUAAAGCUCUGUUGUGAGGGACGAAGGAGCGUCGUUCGAAGAGGGCGGCGCGGUGACGGUACCUCACGAGAAAGCCCCGGCUAACUACGUG